UACGGAAGGUGCAAGCGUUAAUCGGAAUUACUGGGCGUAAAGCGUGCGCAGGCGGUUUGUUAAGUCCGUUGUGAAAGCCCCGAGCUCAACUUGGGAAUUGCAGUGGAUACUGGCAGGCUGGAGUACGGUAGAGGAAGGUGGAAUUCCCGGUGUAGCAGUGAAAUGCGUAGAUAUCGGGAGGAACACCAGUGGCGAAGGCGGCCUUCUGGACCAGUACUGACGCUCAUGCACGAAAGCGUGGGGAGCAAACAGG
rnacentral:rRNA from 1 species